rnacentral:rRNA from 1 species
UACGGAGGGGGCUAGCGUUAUUCGGAAUUAUUGGGCGUAAAGAGCUCGUAGGCGGCUUGUCACGUCGGGUGUGAAAGCUCGGGGCUUAACCCCGGGUCUGCAUUCGAUACGGGCUGGCUGGAGUGUGGUAGGGGAGAUCGGAAUUCCUGGUGUAGCGGUGAAAUGCGCAGAUAUCAGGAGGAACACCGGUGGCGAAGGCGGAUCUCUGGGCCAUUACUGACGCUGAGGAGCGAAAGCGUGGGGAGCGAACAGG